GACGAACGCUGGCGGCGUGCUUAACACAUGCAAGUCGAACGGUGAAGCACCUUCCUUUUGGUGGGUGUGGAUGAGUGGCGAACGGGUGAGUUACACGUGAGUAACCUGCCCCCUUCUUCUGGAUAACCGCAUGAAAGUGUGGCUAAUACGGGAUAUUCUGUGUCUGCUGCAUGGUGGGUGUGGGAAAGAUGCGCUUUUGGGUGUUUUUGGUGGGGGAUGGGCUCGCGGCCUAUCAGCUUGUUGGUGGGGUGAUGGCCUACCAAGGCGGUGACGGGUAGCCGGCCUGAGGGGGUGGACGGUCACACUGGGACUGCGACACGGCCCAGACUCCUACGGGAGGCAGCAGUGGGGAAUAUUGCACGAUGGGCGCAAGCCUGAUGCAGCGACGCCGCGUGAGGGAUGGAGGCCUUCGGGUUGUAAACCUCUUUCGCCAGUGAAGCAGGCCUGUCCCUUGUGGGUGGGUUGACGGUAGCUGGAUAAGAAGCGCCGGCUAACUACGUG
rnacentral:rRNA from 1 species